GGGUACGACCAUACUUGGCCGAGUGCACCACAUC
rnacentral:rRNA from 1 species